rnacentral:SRP_RNA from 1 species
CGUGAGCGCCAUAUGGCCAGCUCCUCCUGAACUCCCCCAGGGUGGAAACGCAGCAAGGGUAGGGGGUUGUAGCGGUCGAUGUGGUCGCUCACUUAU